rnacentral:ncRNA from 2 species
ACGCCGCAAAAAAGCAGAGCAUAUAUAGUCUCCGCGCAAAGGGCGGAGAGUUUCUACCGACGAGCCUGCCCGUCGACUAUAUGCGGUUUUUCCGCAUAC